rfam:Picea glauca, whole genome shotgun sequence.
AUGUACAUACUUACAACAUAGCGUUAAUACACCAGAUCUCAUUAGAUAUUUCUAGUUAAGCGUGCUCAGGAUAGAGUAGUACUGGUAUGGGUGACCUCCAAAGAAGUCCUAUUUUUUUACAUG